GACGAACGCUGGCGGCGUGCUUAACACAUGCAAGUCGAACGGAAAGGCCCUGCUUUUGUGGGGUGCUCGAGUGGCGAACGGGUGAGUAACACGUGAGUAACCUGCCCUUGACUUUGGGAUAACUUCAGGAAACUGGGGCUAAUACCGGAUAGGAGCUCCUGCUGCAUGGUGGGGGUUGGAAAGUUUCGGCGGUUGGGGAUGGACUCGCGGCUUAUCAGCUUGUUGGUGGGUUAGUGGCUUACCAAGGCUUUGACGGGUAGCCGGCCUGAGAGGGUGACCGGCGACAUUGGGCCUGGGAUACGGCACAGACUCCAAUGGGAGGCAGCAGUGGGGAAUAUUGCACAAUGGGCGGAAGCCUGAUGCAGCAACGCAGCGUGCGGGAUGACGGCCUUCGGGUUGUAAACCGCUUUCGCCUGUGACGAAGCGUGAGUGACGGUAAUGGGUAAAGAAGCACCGGCUAACUACGUG
rnacentral:rRNA from 1 species